AGACAACAUCCUGGAGGCUGUUAAAGCAGAAGACCUUAUGACAGAUGAAGAGAUCACGGUAAAAACAAGGUUACAAUGUACAAGGUUUUUAGUAUGAGGUGGCAUUCACAACUUUUACAAGGCUGGUAAAAACUGAAUCAACUUCUAAAAAUACUUUUAUAUUAUACUAUUAUAGGAUCUGGAGAAAAACCUGCUAAGUGGGCAUGUUCUGUCUAACAAAAUGUAUCUGUGGAAACACAAAGGAUUUGAUCCUCUCCUCAGAAAACAUUACAGCAAACAUGUGACUUUAUUCAAUGACAUGAAGAAUCUGUGCUUCUAACCACC
ensembl:lncRNA